rnacentral:sRNA from 1 species
AGCUUCCUGGCAAGGUAGAGGAAAGGCUUCUCGAAGUUGUAGUUGCUCUUGGCAGAGAUCUCGUAAUACUGGAGGUUCUUCUUCCUGUGGAAGGUCACCAUCUUGGCCUUCACCUGCCUGUUCUUCAUGUCCACCUUGUUGCCGCACAGCACGAUCGGUAUGUUGUCGCAGACCCUGAUAGACAGAUGCAAGUGGGAACGUUCUUGUACGUGAGACGCGAGGUGACAUCAAACAUGAUGAUCGCGCAAUGACCAUGGAUAUAGUAUCCAUCACGGAGGCCGCCGAACUUCUCCUGGCCGGCGGUGUCCCAGCAGCAGAACCGCACCUUGCCGCGGCUCGUGUGGAAGUCCAGUGGCCGCACCUCCACCCCGAUCGUCGCUGCA